AAGCACGAAGCCUUCCUUGAAAAGAGACAUCAUAGAACUCUCGCAAAACACGAGUUUAAUGGGACAGGAGUGUAAGUACGAAGGCAACGACGUAUUCAGCUCGCUGUUUCCAACAGUUCAAUCUUUUAGUCUA
rnacentral:rRNA from 1 species